GGCCUCGGGGUGUGACACGUGAGAUUGCAAAUCCCAAGAAGCAGGUAGUUCCUGCCGGGGCUU
rnacentral:tRNA from 2 species